UCGGGAAUUUUGGGCAAUGGGCGAAAGCCUGACCCAGCAACGCCGCGUGAAGGAUGAAGUAUUUCGGUAUGUAAACUUCGAAAGAAUAGGAAGAAUAAAUGACGGUACUAUUUAUAAGGUCCGGCUAACUACGUGCCAGCAGCCGCGGUAAAACGUAGGGACCAAGCGUUGUUCGGAUUUACUGGGCGUAAAGGGCGCGUAGGCGGCAAUUCAAGUCAUCUGUGAAAUCUCCGGGCUUAACUCGGAACGGUCAGAUGAUACUGCUUUGCUAGAGUGCAGAAGGGGCAAUCGGAAUUCUUGGUGUAGCGGUGAAAUGCGUAGAUAUCAAGAGGAACACCUGAGGUGAAGACGGGUUGCUGGGCUGACACUGACGCUGAGGCGCGAAAGCCAGGGGAGCAAACGGGAUUAGAUACCCCCGUAGUCCCUGAGCGGGCUGGCAAGGCGCAU
rnacentral:rRNA from 1 species